UACGUAGGGAGCGAGCGUUGUUCGGAUUUACUGGGCGUAAAGGGCGCGUAGGCGGCAGAUUAAGUCAGCUGUGAAAUCUCCGAGCUUAACUCGGAACUGUCAGCUGAUACUGUUUUGCUAGAGUGCGGAAGGGGCAAUCGGAAUUCUUGGUGUAGCGGUGAAAUGCGUAGAUAUCAAGAGGAACACCUGAGGUGAAGACGGGUUGCUGGGCCGACACUGACGCUGAGUGCGCGAAAGCCAGGGGAGCAAACGGG
rnacentral:rRNA from 1 species